rnacentral:rRNA from 1 species
UACGUAGGGGGCAAGCGUUGUCCGGAUUUAUUGGGCGUAAAGAGCGUGUAGGCGGCCAGGUAGGUCAGCUGUGAAAACUCGAGGCUCAACCUCGAGAUGUCGAUGGAAACCGUCUGGCUAGAGUCCGGAAGAGGAGUGUGGAAUUCCUGGUGUAGCGGUGAAAUGCGCAGAUAUCAGGAAGAACACCUAUGGCGAAGGCAGCACUCUGGGACGGUACUGACGCUGAGACGCGAAAGCGUGGGGAGCGAACAGG